rnacentral:rRNA from 1 species
UACGUAGGGGGCAAGCGUUGUCCGGAAUCAUUGGGCGUAAAGCGCGCGUAGGUGGCCUCAUAAGUCCGCUGUGAAAGUCAAAGGCUCAACCUUUGAAAGCCGGUGGAUACUGUGAGGCUAGAGUACGGAAGAGGCGAGUGGAAUUCCUGGUGUAGCGGUGGAAUGCGCAGAUAUCAGGAGGAACACCAAUAGCGCAGGCAGCUCGCUGGGACGUGACUGACACUGAGGCGCGAAAGCGUGGGGAGCGAACAGG